AACUCUCCAGAAGAAGGUCAUUCGGUUCAUAUUAAUUUUGAAGAACUUUCUAUUGCAAUGCAAACCAUUUGAUGUAAAUUGUAAACUAAUUAUGAUAUAUUUUAGUUUUGAAAUUUUGAAUUUAAGAAAUAAAGUACUUGCAAUAAGUGCAAUUUUUUCCCCAUCUUUCGUUGUGUUCAUUCAAUUAUUACAAAGUAUUAAUAUAACUUAAUAUUUAUACUAUACGUAAUUCCAAAAAAAAAAAACCC
rnacentral:lncRNA from 1 species